rnacentral:rRNA from 1 species
AUUGAACGCUGGCGGCAGGCUUAACACAUGCAAGUCGAGCGGAGAUGAGGUGCUUGCACCUUAUCUUAGCGGCGGACGGGUGAGUAAUGCUUAGGAAUCUGCCUAUUAGUGGGGGACAACAUUCCGAAAGGAAUGCUAAUACCGCAUACGCCCUACGGGGGAAAGCAGGGGAUCUUCGGACCUUGCGCUAAUAGAUGAGCCUAAGGCGGAUUAGCUAGUUGGUGGGGUAAAGGCCUACCAAGGCGACGAUCUGUAGCGGGUCUGAGAGGAUGAUCCGCCACACUGGGACUGAGACACGGCCCAGACUCCUACGGGAGGCAGCAGUGGGGAAUAUUGGACAAUGGGCGGAAGCCUGAUCCGGCCAUGCCGCGUGUGUGAAGAAGGCCUUUUGGUUGUAAAGCACUUUAAGCGAGGAGGAGGCUACCUGGAUUAAUACUCUAGGAUAGUGGACGUUACUCGCAGAAUAAGCACCGGCUAACUCUGUGCCAGCCGCCGCUGUAAAAC